CUGCAGACCAGGUCUUUCGCAAUGCCCGAAAGGGUGACGAAGCGACGCCGCGUGAGCGAAGAAGGCCUUAGGGUUGUAAAGCUUUGUCAGGGGUUAUGAAAUGUAAAUGGGCUAAUACCUCAUUUAUUUGACAAAGGCCCCAAAGGAAGCCACGGCUAACUCUGUGCCAGCAGCCGCGGUAAUACAGAGGUGGCAAGCGUUGUUCGGUAUUAUUGGGCGUAAAGAGCACGUAGGUUGUUUUGUAAGUCAGGUGUGAAAGCCUUCUGUUCAAAGGAAGAACGGCAUCUGAAACUGCAAAUCUUGAGUGUAGGAGGGGAGAGUGGAACUUCUGGUGGAGCGGUGAAAUGCGUAGAUAUCAGAAGGAACGUCGGCGGCGAAAGCGACUCUCUGGCCUAUUACUGACACUGAGGUGCGAAAGUUAGGGGAGCAAACGGGAUUAGAUACCCCGGUAGUCCUAACCGUAAACGAUGGGCACUAA
rnacentral:rRNA from 1 species